GAUGAACGCUGGCCGCGUGCCUAAUACAUGCAAGUCGAGCGAACAGAUGAGGAGCUUGCUCCUCUGACGUUAGCGGCGGACGGGUGAGUAACACGUGGAUAACCUACCUAUAAGACUGGGAUAACUUCGGGAAACCGGAGCUAAUACCGGAUAAUAUAUUGAACCGCAUGGUUCAAUAGUGAAAGACGGUUUUGCUGUCACUUAUAGAUGGAUCCGCGCCGCAUUAGCUAGUUGGUAAGGUAACGGCUUACCAAGGCAACGAUGCGUAGCCGACCUGAGAGGUUGAUCGGCCACACUGGAACUGAGACACGGUCCAGACUCCUACGGGAGGCAGCAGUAGGGAAUCUUCCGCAAUGGGCGAAAGCUUGACGGAGCAACGCCGCGUGAGUGAUGAAGGUCUUCGGAUCGUAAAACUCUGUUAUUAGGGAAGAACAAAUGUGUAAGUAACUAUGCACGUCUUGACGGUACCUAAUCAGAAAACCACGGCUAACUACGU
rnacentral:rRNA from 1 species